GGGGAUGUAACGGUUUCGACGGGGGCGCGGAGGCAGGAAUAGCGGGCGGAUGCGCCUACCAUCCUUAAAAUGGGCAACCUUUAUAAAUUAAAGAACAACGACAACGAAGUUCUUCUCGCUGCUUAAUUAGCGAGCGUUCCCUCCGGGAGGACCACGGCCCGGAACGGAGCGUCGACAAGUGGUGCACGUGCGUGCGCAAAGCUUUGAGCGCACCAUGAACAAUGAAGCUACCAAGCUUUCGAGGGUGACGGCUCCCGCGGAAGCAAGGGAAUGCAAAUAACCGUCUGCGCCCGGAGAAGUUCCUGUUAAAGUGCUUUCGGACGCGGGUUCAACUCCCGCCAUCUCCACCA
rnacentral:tmRNA from 1 species